AUUGAACGCUGGCGGCAGGCCUAACACAUGCAAGUCGAGCGGAUGACGGGAGCUUGCUCCUUGAUUCGGCGGCGGACGGGUGAGUAAUGCCUAGGAAUCUGCCUGGUAGUGGGGGACAACGUUUCGAAAGGAACGCUAAUACCGCAUACGUCCUACGGGAGAAAGCAGGGGACCUUCGGGCCUUGCGCUAUCAGAUGAGCCUAGGUCGGAUUAGCUAGUUGGUGGGGUAAUGGCUCACCAAGGCGACGAUCCGUAACUGGUCUGAGAGGAUGAUCAGUCACACUGGAGCUGAGACACGGUCCAGAAUCCUACGGGAGGCAGCAGUGGGGAAUAUUGGACAAUGGGCGAAAGCCUGAUCCAGCCAUGCCGCGUGUGUGAAGAAGGUCUUCGGAUUGUAAAGCACUUUAAGUUGGGAGGAAGGGCAGUAAGCUAAUACCUUGCUGUUUUGACGUUACCGACAGAAUAAGCACCGGCUAACUCUGUGCCAGCCGCCGCCGUAA
rnacentral:rRNA from 1 species